rnacentral:rRNA from 1 species
AGUGAACGCUGGCGGUAGGCCUAACACAUGCAAGUCGAACGGCAGCACAGGAGAGCUUGCUCUCUGGGUGGCGAGUGGCGGACGGGUGAGGAAUACAUCGGAAUCUACUUUUUCGUGGGGGGAUAACGUAGGGAAACUUACGCUAAUACCGCAUACGACCUACGGGUGAAAGCAGGGGACCUUCGGGCCUUGCGCGAUUGAAUGAGCCGAUGUCGGAUUAGCUAGUUGGCGGGGUAAAGGCCCACCAAGGCGACGAUCCGUAGCUGGUCUGUGAGGAUGAUCAGCCACACUGGAGCUGAGACACGGUCCAGACUCCUACGGGAGGCAGCAGUGGGGAAUAUUGGACAAUGGGCGCAAGCCUGAGCCAGCCAUACCGCGUGGGUGAAGAAGGCCUUCGGGUUGUAAAGCCCUUUUGUUGGGAAAGAAAUCCAGCUGGCUAAUACCCGGUUGGGAUGACGGUACCCAAAGAAUAAGCACCGGCUAACUUCGUGCCAGCCGCCGCAGUAA